AACGCCUGUGGUGUUCGUUACAAGAAAGGCAGGCUCUACCCUGAGUACCGUCCUGCUGCAAGUCCCACGUUCGUUCCAUCUUUGCACUCCAACUCUCACAAAAAGGUUCUGGAAAUGAGAAGCAACGUUUUCCCCGAAGAGGAAACACAUUACAAGCAGGCCAAACCUAGACGAGCCCGCCCCCUUAUCACUGUCCAAGCUGAGAACAACACCACAGCUAGUACUACUCCAACCGAGUAACAAAAUCAUCAUAGGAGCAGACAGAGCAGAAACCAGUUUUUCCUAGUCCUCAUUUUUUUCAGGUCUUUUAGUGUUAUUUGUUUACUGUUUUUUCAUUGCUUUGUUCAUUGGUUCUUUGUAUAAAGAUGUAGGAGGCUAUAGUAAAGAAGUAGAUGACAUAUAGUUUAGUUGGUAGCUAGAGUUAAGAGAUGAAAAUGGAGUCAGGCUAAGGCAGCUUUAGUGUUAUUUAAGACUAGGUUUGGAGUCCUUUUUUUUCUCAUCUUUUUGAUGAAAGAAUUCUUUUGCAGUUACUAUGAUUUGUUUUUAGAAAUGUUGUAUUCUUGAAUGAGCUAAUGGUUUCAAG
rnacentral:misc_RNA from 1 species